GGGCACAAAGGAUGCGACCCAGCACGAAGUAGCCGACGUGGAGCUGCAGCUGCACCACAAAAACGGACACUAGGGCCUGGAGCAGCAGGCCCAGCGAGGCCAGCACUAGCAGCGGGCGGCGGCCCACACUGUCGCUCCAAGCUCCCAGCAGGGUGGACGAGAAGAGCCCCACCAGGAAGCCGCCCACGUUCAUGUAGAGGGUCCAGUGGGAGGCUAGCCAAUAUUAACCAUCGCUAUCUACCGCUGAGGAAACGAGGUCAUCGGGUACUCAAGGCAGAGCUGGAAGAGCACAUGACUCCUGAUGCUGCUGAUGUUCUGCGCUGUAACAGAGAGGCAGCUGGAGAGGAUCGGAGUGGGCUGAGCCCAGCUGCCUGGGUUGGAGCACCUAGGCUCUGCCACUACCUUCGGCAUGCCACUUACCACCCUGAGCCUCUGUUUUUUCAUCUGUAAAAUGGAGUUGCUAACAAAACAUGUCUCAAAAAGUUGUGGAAAAGCAGUGUCUGGUAUAUUCAAAGU
rnacentral:lncRNA from 1 species